GAUGAACGCUGGCGGCGUGCCUAAUACAUGCAAGUGGAGCGAACAGACGAGGAGCUUGCUCCUCUGACGUUAGCGGCGGACGGGUGAGUAACACGUGGAUAACCUACCUAUAAGACUGGGAUAACUUCGGGAAACCGGAGCUAAUACCGGAUAAUAUAUUGAACCGCAUGGUUCAAUAGUGAAAGACGGUUUUGCUGUCACUUAUAGAUGGAUCCGCGCCGCAUUAGCUAGUUGGUAAGGUAACGGCUUACCAAGGCGACGAUGCGUAGCCGACCUGAGAGGGUGAUCGGCCACACUGGAACUGAGACACGGUCCAGACUCCUACGGGAGGCAGCAGUAGGGAAUCUUCCGCAAUGGGCGAAAGCCUGACGGAGCAACGCCGCGUGAGUGAUGAAGGUCUGCGGAUCGUAAAACUCUGUUAUUAGGGAAGAACAAAUGUGUAAGUAACUAUGCACGUCUUGACGGUACCUAAUCAGAAAGCCACGGCUAACUACGU
rnacentral:rRNA from 1 species